GCGGGGGUUCCCGAGCCCGGUCAAGGCCCGGGCGGGCGAUCUGCUGCCGCAGGGCUUCGUGGGUUCAAAUCCCACCCCCCGCA
rnacentral:tRNA from 1 species